rfam:Gossypium raimondii chromosome 2, whole genome shotgun sequence.
AAUCUAUGGUGCAGCCAUUUUUGAAUCAAUAUUUUGAAACGUUCCCAUGCCUCAUAAAAAAUUUCACCCUCUAUUUGUCUAAAAAAAACAAUCUCUCACCUUACUUGGACU